UACAGAGGGGGCAAGCGUUGUUCGGAAUUACUGGGCGUAAAGGGCGCGUAGGCGGCCUGCUAAGUCGAACGUGAAAUCCCUGGGCUCAACCCAGGAACUGCGUCCGAUACUGGUUGGCUUGAAUCCGGGAGAGGGACGUGGAAUUCCAGGUGUAGCGGUGAAAUGCGUAGAUAUCUGGAGGAACACCGAUGGCGAAGGCGGCAUCCUGGACCGACACUGACACUGAGGAGCGAAAGCCAGGGGAGCAAACGGG
rnacentral:rRNA from 1 species